rnacentral:rRNA from 1 species
AAGAACAACUNUUAGCAACGGAUAUCUUGGUUCCCGCAACGAUGAAGAACGCAGCGAAAUGCGAUACGUAAUGCGAAUUGCAGAAUUCAGUGAAUCAUCAAAUCUUUGAACGCAAAUUGCACUCUCGGGAUAAACCUGGGAGUACUCUUCUUUCAGUAUCGGUUCUAUCUUAUCUCGGCUGCGUGCUUCACAGUACGGCCAGUCCGGACACUGAGCGUCACGACUUGUUCACUCAUGGUCGUGUUGCUUGAAAGGUAGAAAGCUCUCCAAUGGAAUUCAAUUUCAUUAUUUCCCUUUAUUGGGGAGGACUAGUGACGUGGUUAAGUUCGCUUCAGUGCGACCCUCCCAUCGUCAUCCUGCUGGUCUUCGAAUUCCGCCGGUUUCGAGCUUUAACUUGGCCCCUCUUCAGUCCCGUUCGGUCGGUGGCGAGGGACGGCCUAACAUACCAUUUACGAAAUCAGAUCUGAAAUGAAGUGAGAGGACCCGCUGAACUUAAGCAUAUCAUUAAGCGGAGGAAAAGAAAAUAACAAUGAUUCCCCUAGUAACGGCGAGUGAACCGGGAAGAGCUCAAACUGAAAAUCUGGGAUCCUUGCAGGUCUCCGAAUUGUAGUCUAGAGACGUAACGUCAGUGUGUGACCUGGGUAUAAGUCUUUUGGAACAAGGCAUCAUAGAGGGUGAGAAUCCCGUCUUUGACCCAGAGUUCGCCGCGNNNNNCUUGCGUUCGAAGAGUCGAGCUGGUCGGGACUCCAACUCAAAAUGGGUGGUAAGAUCUAUA